UACGGAGGGUGCGAGCGUUGUCCGGAAUCACUGGGCGUAAAGGGCGCGUAGGCGGCGCGGAAAGUCGUCGGUGAAAGCUCGGGGCUCAACCCUGAGUCUGCCGGUGAUACUCCCGGCGCUCGAGCUCACUAGAGGCAGAUGGAAUUCCGGGUGUAGCGGUGGAAUGCGUAGAGAUCCGGAAGAACACCGGUGGCGAAGGCGGUCUGCUGGGGUGAGGCUGACGCUGAUGCGCGACAGCGUGGGAGCAACAGG
rnacentral:rRNA from 1 species